rnacentral:rRNA from 1 species
CGUGUAGGCGGGUCUUUAAGUCAGAGGUGAAAUGCCAAGGCUCAACCUUGGAACUGCCUUUGAUACUGGAGAUCUUGAGUCCGGGAGAGGUGAGUGGAAUUGCGAGUGUAGAGGUGAAAUUCGUAGAUAUUCGCAAGAACACCAGUGGCGAAGGCGGCUCACUGGCCCGGAACUGACGCUGAGACGCGAAAGCGUGGGAGCAAACA